rnacentral:misc_RNA from 1 species
UUUUAAAAGUCUGUAGUUUAAAAAAUAUAUUGUUGGCUAUUAAACCAUACAUUUAAAAAAUGUAUGUAAGUCCGUAGUUCCACUGGGCUACUAAGAACUUCCUCGUAAUUGGUGUUAAAAAUAUUUAAUCUAUAUAUUAAGGAAUUAUAACAGCAAACUUAAAAGUAUUGUUAAGCAUUGUAAUACAAUUCUCGUAGAAAACUAGAGAGUCUUAUUGUCGAAUACCUUAAUUUAAUGGUUUAUACGCUCAUCAUUAUUACGAUACACAUAAAUACAUAUCAAUAAAACAGUUUGAAUUCAGUAUGAGAUUGUCUUUUAAAAACUGUUACACAUUACUCUCUUGUAAUAUAUCUAUAUGGUGAUUUUAUAUUAACGGGUAAACUAUCAAAUCUCUGUUUAACUCAGCAUGUAGUUAUUAACAAAAAAAAAUUGCAAAACAGAUCAAUUUAAAGAAUUGCAUAUCCAACAUUCAUUUAAGUUCUAUUCAAAGGAUAGGAACAAGUCGAAAUUGGCAUCUAUGUCUAAGUGGAAUUCUCAAAAUGCAGGCUGAGCGCUAUUGAAGUUUAAUUUGAAAAAAAAAACGAGAUUACCUCAUACUAAUGGAGAACAAAAAAUUAAACUAUUGUGUCCUGUUUGAGUACGACGUUUUACGAUUAGGAAAUCAUUGACACAAUUUGAAAGCCAAUUAUUUAUAAAUUUUCGAUUAAAUAAAUUAUGAAAGUUUAUAUUACUGCUGUCUUUGGGCUAUUGUUUGAUUUUAAUUUUUUUUUUUUUAGUUAUUAGGACGCUCCAAGAAGACUACGGUUUUAUCAGAGAGCACCGCGAAAGUGUAUAUAACCGGAUGUUCACGUACCAAUAUUGUUUAUCUAGCCUGAACCGACAUUGAAUCUAAUUCUGAUUGUUAAAAUUGAAACACCUUUAAAAAAAUGUUUAUAGUUAUCAAA